UUUGUGUGUCAAAAUCUGCUUUAACUUACAAAAACUAUGUCUGAUGUAAUUUCAGUAACUUCAGCACAAAGGAAUUUCCAGGUGAGAUAUGAGAGGCUCCGUGCUGUGGGCCUUUGUGGGCUGUUGUAAAUAUAGAUCAACCCUGGGUCUCUCACUGUCAAAAAAGGCAGGCCACUGAUGGAGGAUCUCUCCCCACGCUGGUACUUCUGUGUGGUCCUUCUAGUCUCAUGCAUUUCUUAAGAGUUGUCUUGGGCUGUCAUAGUACAUACAAACACAAGGGCCUGCCAGUGUUUUGCCAUUCUGCAGAGAAAGGAGAAAGCUUAACAUUGGCUAUUCCACUGCUUGCCAUUUUGCUGAUCUGUAGGUGGUUAUGUUUCAGGGGAAAAGCACUGCCAACUGAUCAUAUAGUAAAAGAAGGCUCACCACCCUCAUCCCAUCUCCAAACUCCAGGCUCGAUCUGGUGAAGCUGGUGGCCAAUUUCCACAUUCUAAUUCUCUGAACCAGUCGCUGGCUUGCAGCUUCUGUAGCUCUUGUUGUGUGGUAGUGGUGCCCCUUGACAGGCAAUUAACCGGUUGAGAAUGGCUGCAGUGUGACAGCUAACUGACUGACCAUGUCGUACAGUAGGUAUAGACUUACUUUUCUGUCGUUCUUGGAAGAGUCACCUGUGCUGAAUUCCUGCCAGGUGGGGGACUCCCCACUUCAAGUUCCGUUUUCAGCAGUAACUGUAGAGGUGCUUUUUAUACCGGAGGUGCAGAGGUGAGAACAGAGGACACUGAAUUCACCUCAGGGUGCUUCGGACCCUUUCACACCCCUAGGCUCAGGGCCGCAAUUCAUUCCGCAGUUUGGCACAGAGUACCCGCCCUCACCCCCACAUACGUUUUGUGCGCACAAGCCUGCUUUGUGCGGAUGUGCAUACUUAUCACCGAAUCACACCCAGCACAGCAACCUGCCACUCGUUCGGGCUCUGCCUUAGGCUACCUCGGUACCGCACGGACGGCCUGCAGCAGCACCUAACGGGGAGACGCCGGCAUUGCAGGACAGCCUGGGCGGCCAUCGCGUCUCCUGGCGAGGCGGUGCUGCAUUGCGGCCGCGGCCCGCCCUGCCUGCCCCCGCCCCAGGACUCCUUUCCUCCACCGGCUUGCGGCCCCCGGGUGCAGAGAGCACGGCAAGCCGCCGACCCGGAGCUGAGGGCGGACGGCGGGGCCGGGCCGCAGUCCCAGAGAGCCCGCUCCGGCCGGGGCCAGCCCCUGCUUGCCGCCCUCCCUCUGAGGCCGUUCAGCGCUGCUGAGGCACCAGUGGCGGCUAAACGGCCCCGGUGGAAGCCGUUUGCCCGUCCUUCCUUCCCCCGCCGCCGGUGAAUAAUGGGUCAGGCAGCAGGAGGGAAGGGAGAGUACGUGCUCAUCGGCGGUUUCGCACGUCCCUGAGAGGGCAGAGGUACGUUGCUCCAGCUUCCUCUCAGUUCUGCACCAGAAGGCUGGGGUACAGCACAUAUGCAAAUGGUGUCAGCUCAUCUGCUGCCUGGCAGACGGUGAGUUAAGAUUGCUAUUCAUCGCCCAGCGAAGGCACCGUCUGCCUUCCCCCUCGCUGACCUUUCUGCUGAAACAGAUGCAGCGGCUCCGUGAAUUUGGAUGUGGCUCUGCACAUACCGAGGCACUCCGGCAGCUCUCAGCAACCCUUUGUAAUACCGCUUUAUUUUAUUUUU